rnacentral:lncRNA from 1 species
AUGCCAGCAAAUUUGGAAAACUCAGCAGUGGUGACAGGACGGAAAAGGUCAGUUUUCAUUCCAAUCCCAAAGAAAGGCAAUGCCAAAGAAUGCUCAAACUACCACACAAUUGCACUCAUCUCACAUGCUAGUAAAGUAAUGCUCAAAAUUCUCCAAGCCAGGCUUCAGCAAUACAUGAACCAUGAAUUUCCCGAUGUUCAAGCUGGUUUUAGAAAAGGCAGAGGAACCAGAGAUCAAAUUGCCAACAUCCGCUGGAUCAUGGAAAAAGCAAGAGAGUUCCAGAAAAACAUCUAUUCCUGCUUUAUUGACUAUGCCAAAGCCUUUGACUGUGUGGAUCACAAUAAACUGUGGAAAAUUCUGAAAGAGAUGGGAAUACCAGACCACCUGACCUGCCUUUUAAGAAAUCUGUAUGCAGGUCAGGAAGCAACAGUUAGAACUGGACAUGGGACAACAGACUGGUUCCAAAUAAGAAAAGGAGUACAUCAAGGCUGUAUAUUGUCACCCUGCUUAUUUAAUUUCUAUGCAGAGUACAUCAUGAGAAACGCUGGGCUGGAUGAAGCACAAGCUGGAAUCAAGAUUGCUGGGAGAAAUAUCAAUAACCUCAGAUAUGCAGAGGACCCAACCUUUAUGGCAGAAAGUGAAGAGGAACUAAAAAGCCUCUUGAGGAAAGUGAAAGUGGAGAGUGAAAAAGUUGGCUUAAAGCUCAACAUUCAGAAAACGAAGAUCAUGGCAUCCAGUCCCAUCAUUACAUGGGAAAUAGAUGGGGAAACAGUGGAAACAGUGUCAGACUUUAUUUUGGGGGGCUCCAAAAUCACUGUGGGUGGUGAGUGCAGCCACGAAAUUAAAAGACACUUACUCCUUGGAAGAAAAGUUAUGACCAACCUAGAUAACAUAUUCAAAAGCAGAGACAUUACUUUGCCGACUAAGUUCCGUCUAGUCAAGGCUAUGGUUUUUCCAGUGGUCAUGUAUGGAUGUGAGAGUUGGACUGUGAAGAAGGCUGAGGGCCGAAGAAUUGAUGCUUUUGAACUGUGGUGUUGGAGAAGACUCUUGAGAGUCCCUUGGACUGCAAGGAGAUCCAACCAAUCCAUUCUGAAGGAGAUCAGCCCUGGGAUUUCCUUGGAGGGAAUGAUGCUGAAGCUGAAACUCCAGUACUUUGGCCACCUCAUGCGAAGAGUUGACUCGUUGGAAAAGACUCUGAUGCUGGGAGGGAUUGGGGGCAGGAGGAGAAGGGGACGACCGAGGAUGAGAUGGCUGGAUGGAGUCACAGACUUGAUGGACGUGAGUCUGAGUGAACUCCGAGAGUUGAUGAUGGACAGGGAGGCCUGGCGUGCUGCGAUUCAUGGGGUGGCAAAGAGUCGGACAUGA